UGGGGAAUAUUGGACAAUGGGCGCAAGCCUGAUCCAGCAAUGCCGCGUGGGUGAAGACGGCCUGCGGGUUGUAAAGCCCUUUGGGUGGGGAAGAACGGUGGUUUGCGAACAGUGGACCGCUCUGACAUUACCCACGGAACAAGCACCGGCUAACUCCGUGCCAGCAGCCGCGGUAAUACGGAGGGUGCGAGCGUUAAUCGGAAUUACUGGGCGUAAAGCGUGCGUAGGCGGAUGGGUCAGUCAGCCGUGAAAGCCCCGGGCUCAACCUGGGAACGGCGGUUGAGACGGCCGGUCUGGAGUGGGCUAGAGGACUGUGGAACUCCCGGUGUAGCGGUGAAAUGCGUAGAGAUCGGGAAGAACACCGAUGGCGAAGGCAGCGGUCUGGGGCCACACUGACGCUGAGGCACGACGGCGUGGGGAGCAAACAGG
rnacentral:rRNA from 1 species